UGGUAGAGGAGCGUUCCUUUAUGGGAUGAAGGGCAACCGUAAGGAUGCCUGGACUAAAAGGAAGUGAGAAUGCCGGCAUUAGUAACGAUAAGGAGAGUGAGAAUCUCUCCCGCCGAAAACCUAAGGUUUCCUGGGGAAGGUAAAUCCGCCCAGGGUUAGUCGGAACCUAAGCCGAGGCCGAAAGGCGUAGGUGAUGGACAACCGGUCAACAUUCCGGUACUACCAGAUUAUCGCUUUAAGUGAUGGGGGGACGCAGGAAGGUAGGUCAGCACGAUAAAAGUUACGUGUCCAAGCCUGAUAUGGGAGAAGAUAGGAAAAUCCGUCUUCUAUUAAAACCCUAAGAGGUGAUAGGGAGCUGCUAUGGCAGCGAACUGAUCGAUCCUACACUGCCAAGAAAAACCUCUAAACAAGAUAACCUGGUAUCCGUACUAAAACCGACACAGGUAGGUAGGUAGAGAAUACCAAGGCGCUCGAGAUAACCCUCGUUAAGGAACUCGGCAAAAUGACUCCGUAACUUCGGGAGAAGGAGUGCCCCGGUAGGGUGAGUUGAUUUACUCAUACAAGCCCGAAGGGGUUGCAAAGAAACGGCCCAAGCGACUGUUUACUAAAAACACAGGUCUCUGCUAAAUCGAAAGAUGAUGUAUAGGGACUGACGCCUGCCCGGUGCUGGAAGGUUAAGGAAGGAGGUUACCCCUCAUCACUGAGGGGGAAGCUUCUGACCGAAGCCCCAGUAAACGGCGGCCGUAACUAUAACGGUCCUAAGGUAGCGAAAUUCCUUGUCGGGUAAGUUCCGACCUGCACGAAUGGCGUA
rnacentral:rRNA from 1 species